rnacentral:rRNA from 1 species
UUGAACGCUGGCGGCAGGCCUAACACAUGCAAGUCGAGCGGAUGAAGGGAGCUUGCUCCUGGAUUCAGCGGCGGACGGGUGAGUAAUGCCUAGGAAUCUGCCUGGUAGUGGGGGAUAACGUCCGGAAACGGGCGCUAAUACCGCAUACGUCCUGAGGGAGAAAGUGGGGGAUCUUCGGACCUCACGCUAUCAGAUGGGCCUAGGUCGGAUUAGCUAGUUGGUGGGGUAAAGGCCUACCAAGGCGACGAUCCGUAACUGGUCUGAGAGGAUGAUCAGUCACACUGGAACUGAGACACGGUCCAGACUCCUACGGGAGGCGGCAGUGGGGAAUAUUGGACAAUGGGCGAAAGCCUGAUCCAGCCAUGCCGCGUGUGUGAAGAAGGUCUUCGGAUUGUAAAGCACUUUAAGUUGGGAGGAAGGGCAGUAAGUUAAUACCUUGCUGUUUUGACGUUACCAACAGAAUAAGCACCGGCUAACUUCGUG